rnacentral:tRNA from 1 species
GUGUUGUGGCUCAGUGGUAGAGCGCUCGUCUCGCCAUGCGUGAGGCACUGGGUUCAAUCCUCAGCACUGCAUA